rnacentral:rRNA from 1 species
AUUGAACGCUGGCGGCAGGCCUAACACAUGCAAGUCGAACGGAGUGGCGGACGGGUGAGUAAUGUCUGGGAAACUGCCUGAUGGAGGGGGAUAUCUACUGGACACGGUAGCUACUACCGCAUACUCUCAGAUGAGCCUAGGUCGGAUUAGCUAGUUGGUGGGGUAAAGGCCUACCACGGCGACGAUCCGUAACUGGUCUGAGAGGAUGAUCAGUCACAAUGGAACUGAGACACGGUCCAGACUCCUACGGGAGGAAGCAGUGGGGAAUAUUGGACAAUGGGCGAAAGCCUGAUGCAGCCAUGCCGCGUGUGUGAAGAAGGUCUUCGGAUUGUAAAGCACUUUAAGUUGGGAGGCGUUACCAACAGAAUAAGCACCGGCUAACUUCGUGCCAGCAGCCGCGGUAAUAC